ensembl:lncRNA
CACUCAUGUCUUCAUAAUCAUUUCACUUCUAUGUCAAGCUCCCCUCUGCUUGGCACCAGAGGCAAAGUGUCAAUCAGACGAGCAGAUCCCCAUCCAGUCACUGUGUGGCUUUGUCUGGAGUCCCGGUUCCCAUGGCAGGGCUGCCUGUGGUGGAGGACCAAGACGGGACUGGACCCCCAUGGACCCUGCUGCAGGGAUGCUCCUGUAUCUCUCUGCCCCAGCUGAGAUACCAGAUACCAGGCCUGGCUCUUCCUCAGCUCCUACCAACCUCCCGGGGCAGAGAAAACACUUUAUACUUCUUUGACAGGCAAGAAACAAAGAAUAAAACAGAAGUGUCUGCUUCUGAGAGAGACUCUGGGAGACCCUCGGAGAUGUGCAGCGUUACAGUGGCCCUGUGCAACAUGCAAAGGUGGACCCCAGCCCCGCCCCGGUCCCUGGGGUAUUGUAUUAAAGGGCAGUCAGCAGGGACACUGGUCCCCUCAUGUGAGGGCCGCAGACAGGCUCCUUUGGGCAGCCUGGUAGACAGUAGACAUGAGACUGGAGUGGGGAGUUGGGAGGGAGGAACACGGCAGCAGGAAGACUCAGCCGUGGAGGUCAUGGAGGGUGAUGAGGCAAGGACUCUGGAUCCCCAUGGAAGAUGCUGGGCCUGGAAACAGGUUCCAUGUGAGUGUGAAGAGCUCCAUAUGUACAAUGAAAAUCCAGUCUUUACUUUUCUACGUGAAAUCAAAUUUAGCUAAAGGUUCAUUGGCUUGGCUAACAGGAUGGCCCAGUCAGUCGCUUUUAGGAGACUGUCUCCAGGUGAAAGCAUUGUCCCUCCAGGUACCAAAAUGUCCCACAUGGAAUCUGUGAGUAAAGGAGGCAGAUGGUUUUGGGUAAGUUGGUAGGUAUAAUUUUAACCAUCACCACUACCACCCCUUGGGUCCCUAGCCAAGUGUAUUCUGGGAGUAUCCCUAAGGGAGAACCAGCAACGCUGGGGAGAGCAUAUGCUGCAUCCCUGCACGGUGCUUCUCCAGCUGGCGUAGGAUUGGCUGCCAACAGACCAUCCCUCCCUUCUCCUGAGCUGCCUGCUUCUGGUGUUGGGAUACCUAAUAAGGUCAGGGAGUCUCAUGCGUGUAAGCCCACGGCCUGGGUUUUCUCUGUAAAGUGGGCUCCGUGGUCAGAAGACAUGUCGUGGGGGAGAACAUAAGCUGUCCAGCAAGUCCGUAGAGAGAGUGGUGGCGACAGCAUGACGACAGCAGGGGAGCCACAUCCAAAUCCGGAGCAAGUACUUGUUACAAAGGCAACGGUCACCCUUUCCCUGAUGCAGAAGUUCCAGGGCCAUCAGCCCGCCACCUGGCAGUGGGCUCCAUGCCCAGAGUCCCUCACUGCACUAAACAUCCCUGCCAGUCACCCUGUCCAUCAGGUUACAAUCCUAGGAGUUCUCAUUUCAUUUAGUCCUUACCACUGUUCAUAUGUCCUAUUUUAAGGAUAAAAAAAUGGAGGAACAGAGAGACUGAGUAACUUGCUUGAGGUCACACAGCUAGGAAGGGGUGAAGCCAACAUUGGAAGCAGGCACUCUGGGUCCAGAGUAUAGUUCUUAAUGUCCACCUUUGGUCUCAUGGUACAUCAAGUAUGUUUGGGGCUGGCUCCCACCCCCAUGCCCCUUGUGUGUGUAGAGAGAGGGGGCAUUUGGCACUCACUCCCCAGGGCCACAGCUAAUUAUCCUGGGGAGGGUACCUGACAGGGCAGGCCUGAAACCUGCAAUCUGGUGGCCUGGUGGGAAAAGUGAAUUGCGCUGACCUAGUUUCUCUCCUGGAGAAGGCUCUGGCACCCCACUCCAGUACUCUUGCCUGGAAACUCCCAUGGACGGAGGAGCCUGGUAGGCUGCAGUCCAUGGGGUCGCUAAGAGUUGGAUACGACUGAGCGACUUCACUUUCACUUUUCACUUUCAUGCAUUGAAGAAGGAAAUGACAACCCACUCCAGUGUUCUUGCCUGGAGAAUCCCAGGGACGGGGGAGCCUGGUGGGCUGCCGUCUAUGGGGUCGCACAGAGUCGGACACGACUGAAGCGAUGCAGCAGCAGCAGCAGCAGCAGCAGCAGCAGUUUCUCUCCUGGGAAUUUGAAACAGGGAAUGGGGCGUUGAUUUUGGAAGCUGAGGGGGCCCUCCUCCUUGCCCCUCCUGAGACUGUCCCUGGGCCCCAUGGUCUGGGGCCUGUCCUUAAUCUCCCUUUCCUGAGGUAACUUAGACUCUGUCCUUGAUACCCAAAUGAUUCAGCUCAGUAAUUUACUUUCUUUUAAGAAUUUAUUCAGAUCAGUUGAAAAGUGAAUAAAAAUACCUCAGUAAUGCUAGGUGAGCAUUGACCUUCUAGUUUUUCCCCUUUUCAAUUAAACAAUAUGCAGAGGGGCUUCCCUGGUGGCCCAGUGGCUAAGAAUCUGCCUUGCAACAUAG